rnacentral:tRNA from 1 species
GGUUGAGCGAUUGAACUUUUGGCUACGGACCAGAAGGUCGUGGGUUCGAAUCCUGUC